rnacentral:rRNA from 1 species
UACGUAGGGGGCAAGCGUUGUCCGGAUUUAUUGGGCGUAAAGAGCGUGUAGGCGGCCAGCCAGGUCCGUUGUGAAAACUGGAGGCUUAACCUUCAGACGUCGAUGGAAACCGUCUGGCUAGAGUCCGGAAGAGGAGAGUGGAAUUCCUGGUGUAGCGGUGAAAUGCGCAGAUAUCAGGAAGAACACCCGUGGCUAAGGCGGCUCUCUAGUACGGUACUGACGCUGAGACGCGAAAGCGUGGGGAGCGAACAGG